UUCGAUUGUGCCAGCAGCCGCGGUAAUACGGAGGAGGCAAGCGUUAUCCGGAAUUAUUGGGCGUAAAGCGUCCGUAGGUGGGUUAUCAAGUCAGUUGUUAAAGAGUGAAGCUUAACUUCAUAGAGGCGACUGAAACUGAUAGUCUAGAGUAUGGUAGGGGUAGAGGGAAUUUCCAGUGUAGCGGUGAAAUGCGUAGAUAUUGGAAAGAACACCGGUGGCGAAGGCGGCCUGCUGGGGUGGAGCUGACGCUGAGGCGCGACAGCGUGGGGAGCAAACAGGAUUAGAUACCCUGGUAGUCCACGCCGUAAACGAUGGGCACUAGGUGCCUGGGGGAGCGACCCCCUGGGUGCCGGCGCUAACGCAUUAAGUGCCCCGCCUGGGGAGUACGGCCG
rnacentral:rRNA from 1 species